rnacentral:rRNA from 1 species
UACGUAGGGUGCGAGCGUUGUCCGGAAUUAUUGGGCGUAAAGGGCUCGUAGGCGGUUUGUCGCGUCGGGAGUGAAACACGGGGCUUAACUCUGUGCUUGCUUCCGAUACGGGCAGACUAGAGGGAUGCAGGGGAGAACGGAAUUCCUGGUGUAGCGGUGGAAUGCGUAGAUACCAGGAGGAACACCAAUGGCGAAAGCACUCUGCUGGGCCGACACUGACACUGAGAGACGAAAGCUAGGGGAGCGAAUGGG